AUUGAACGCUGGCGGCAGGCCUAACACAUGCAAGUCGAACGAGUGGCGGACGGGUGAGUAAUGUCUGGGAAACUGCCUGAUGGAGGGGGAUAACUACUGGAAACGGUAGCUAAUACCGCAUACCCCCGGUUGGGCCCAGAUGGAAUUAGCUGGUGGGUGGGGUAACGGCGCACCAAGGCGACGAUCCCUAGCUGGUCUGCGAGGAUGACCAGCCACACUGGAACUGAGACACGGUCCAGACUCCUACGGGAGGCAGCAGUGGGGAAUAUUGCACAAUGGGCGCAAGCCUGAUACAGCCAUGCCGCGUGUAUGAAGAAGGCCUUCGGGUUGUAAAGUACUUUCAGCGGGGAGGCGUUACCCGCAGAAGAAGCACCGGCUAACUCCGUGCCAGCAGCCGCGGUAAUUC
rnacentral:rRNA from 1 species